rnacentral:lncRNA from 1 species
CUCUGCUCUUUAGGACAGAGCUUUCUACCUUAAGGUCCCAACAAGUGCUUUUUGGUGUCGGUGCUAGAGUUUCAUGUUUGCUGAGCAAGUGCUCUACCGCCGAGCUGCAUCUCCAAACCCACACAGGAAGCCUUGUAAAAAAAUGAAAUGAAAGAAAAUACCAGAGCACAUUCAACAAUGUUACUUCUCAUCAGGCAUUUGGUCACAGAGAUGAAGAAAUGACUCUAACAGGGUAUUUGACCAUUAACUCCGCCGUACGGAGGAAGAAGAGAUUUGAUGUGGAUACCUCAGUCAGCUUUUCGUUGCCAUAACGAAUAACUUCACAGGCUUACUUAUGAAGGCAAGGAGGUUUAGUCCUUAUGUCUAAGGACUAAAUUUAGACAGCUUAUGUCUUGGAGAUCCAAGGUGUAGCCUCCCCCAGCCUUGAAAAAGCUGAUUCAGACCUUUGUUGCCACUGUGAAUGAGACCACCUGGGGUGGAGCCUUCCUACCUAGAUGGUUCUAUUGCUCUGUCACCUGCAAUGCUCUUCUCCAAGACACCACUACCCGCUGAGAGGCUGAACCUGUCUUCCUGAGAUAUUCCUGUGAUAGCCGACAACCAGUGGACUUGGCGACCUAAUAAUGCUAACAGCUCUGGCAGACUAGUGCUAACAACUUGGCAACAAAGCAUCAAGAAACCUGGUGUGGCAGGGGAUGGGCCUCCCCCCCUUUAUAAACACAGACUUUUAGUAAACUUUGGGGCCUUGAUCAGAAAU